rnacentral:rRNA from 1 species
GAUGAACGCUAGCGGCAGGCCUAACACAUGCAAGUCGAGGGGUAGAAGGAGCUUGCUCCUUUGAGACCGGCGCACGGGUGCGUAACGCGUAUGCAAUCUACCUUGUACAGGGAAUAGCCCAGAGAAAUUUGGAUUAAUGCCCCAUAGUAUAUAACCUUCGCAUGUUGGUUAUAUUAAAGUUCCAACGGUACAAGAUGAGCAUGCGUCCCAUUAGUUAGUUGGUAAGGUAACGGCUUACCAAGACGAUGAUGGGUAGGGGUCCUGAGAGGGAGAUCCCCCACACUGGUACUGAGACACGGACCAGACUCCUACGGGAGGCAGCAGUGAGGAAUAUUGGUCAAUGGUCGCAAGACUGAACCAGCCAUGCCGCGUGCAGGAAGACGGUCCUAUGGAUUGUAAACUGCUUUUAUACAGGAAGAAACCCUCCCACGUGUGGGAGCUUGACGGUACUGUAGGAAUAAGGAUCGGCUAACUCCGUG